AGGCUUUGGUUAACUAGUUUCUCCUGAGGUCAGGCCUUAUUAAGAACAGGUUGCUCUGGCAUAUUACAAAAUGGUUGCUUUUCCUCUCCUCUGCUAGAAGCACAAGGGGAUUUUUCUCUGAUCUUUACUGUGAGAACCUGGUAAAGCCUCUGGAGGUAAAAUUCACAAAGUAUGGGGGCCCCUCAAUUAUUGAGCCCCCCCCCUGAAGUUUUUAACUCUCAGGCUCGUCCGCUCUGAGCCUCCAGCAAUUUGUCAAUUACAAUUCUGGUUUUCCUACCAGAAACUGGUUUCCACAGAGGUUUCAUCUCAUGAGUUUCUGUUCUGGCCACCGAAUUUCAGAACUUCAUUGCUGCUUUGAGCACCAGUUCUACCUCCAAGGAGGCCGAAGGGAUGCUAAAUAGUAUUUUUCACAGUUGAAGACUCCAUUUCACCUUGAUAUCCCUUAAGCGUAAUGACAGUUCUCCGUUUAGACCAAUUUAAGUAUGGAAGUUGGGAGGGAGCAGAGGGAAGCUACAGAAACUUUGCAGGGAGGAGUAGAGGCGAGAGGCCAAUACUUAUUUAUGCAAAAGGCCAGCGGACGCUUAAUUGCUUGGAGGCUUAUGUCUCAAUUUUAACUUUAUAUCCUUACCUGGGGAAAAGGAGAAUAGCAUUCAUUCAUCUGCCUAUUUAUUGAAAGUCUUCCAUGAGCAAUCACUAUAAGUGGGGGUAAAUAGAGUGGAGGUUUAGAGAGCUAGAGUGGAAAAGAAGAAGAAAAACUCAACACAAGAUUAAAAUGUGGCCUCUAUCCUUAAGAAAUAACAAUGAAGUGGGAAAAUGAAACGAAUAAACUUUUAAAAAAUUAAUUGAGCAGCAAGUGUUCAGAGGAGUUGAAAGUUCAAAAGGAGUCUUUGUUAUUUCUGUUACCCCAAUCCCAUCACACACACACAUUCACCCACCAAUACUUUACAGCUGUGCCAGGCCUCGGAUUGGUACCUUUUAUGUUCUCAAUAUGCUCUCUGACUCAAUCCCCAUCUUUUUCAGACUCUGAGUUCACUUCCUCUGGGAAGGCUUCCAUGAAAUGCCAUCCCUUAUUGGGCUCUAUCAUAGCACAUGUAACUUGACUUUAAGUACUUUGAAGAUGUAUUUUUAUGUUUUGUAUAUUCAAGGUCUGGAAUACAGUGAACAUUCAAGAGAUAUUUGAUGAAUAAAAUCCAACUGCUUAAUUUUAUAGAUGGAUUGAUCAAGACCAUGGGAGAUAAGGGACCAGCCCACUGGCACAGCAGUUCAGUUCACACGUCCCGCUUCAGCGGCCCGGGUUUCACCAGUUCAGGUCCCUGGUGCAGACCUACACACUGCAUAUCAAGCCAUGCUGUGGCAGGUGUCCCACA
rnacentral:lncRNA from 1 species